UGAUUUCGCUCACAAUGUUGGCAUAUCUGGACAAGCUAAACAGGGUUACCAGGAGGUGGGGGGAGGACAACAACAUAAACUAUUUUGGGUCAUUUGAGACUAUGAUCUAGGCAAAUCUCCUUCCUAUUUUAUUGUUGUUGUGCUAGGAGAUGAUUAAUGUGCCAAUAACAACCUGCAAGGAGUUCUUUGGCCAACUGGACAU
rnacentral:lncRNA from 1 species